rnacentral:rRNA from 1 species
GCUCAGAACGAACGCUGGCGGCAUGCCUAAUACAUGCAAGUCGAACGAGAUCUUCGGAUNUAGUGGCGCACGGGGUGCGUAACGCGGUGGGAAUCUGCCCUUGGGUUNGGAAUNACAGUUGGAAACGACUGCUAAUACCGGAUGAUGACGUAAGUCCAAAGAUUUAUCGCCCAGGGAUGAGCCCGCGUAGGAUUAGCUAGUUGGUGGGGUAAAGGCCUACCAAGGCGACGAUCCUUAGCUGGUCUGAGAGGAUGAUCAGCCACACUGGGACUGAGACACGGCCCAGACUCCUACGGGAGGCAGCAGUAGGGAAUAUUGGACAAUGGGGGCAACCCUGAUCCAGCAAUGCCGNGUGAGUGAUGAAGGCCUUAGGGUUGUAAAGCUUCUUUUACCCGAG